UAUCUCUAAUAACAGACCCUUGACUGCCCUAAGUGCUUCAUUCCUAUUCUGCGUUUUCUUUGGACUUUCUCUUAUCAGGUCCAAGAUUUCUUGAUGUCUCUAUCUAAUCUCCUCUCUCAAUUCUUCCACAGACCUUUCCAAUGUGCUCAUUCUUCCUUCCAUGAUUUUUCCUCUCCAAGAUCUAGCAGGUCGGACCAAUUGUUAGAUUUCUUGAAACAAGAAAUCUAAAAACACACACUUGACAACACUAAACACACAAAAACACUGAAACAACCUUGUAUUAUUAUUCUUGUAAGAAAAUAAUACAAAGAAUACAAUUUGAACACUUCCAAGGGAAUUGUCUCCCCUCACACAGGAAUACUAAUGUCCUGUCACUCAGAUACAAUUCACUCAACAGCCCCCCUCCAGACAAACCUUUUCCUAUUUAAAGACUCCUCCUCCUCUCAACAAAACACCCCACCAGAACAGUUAUCCUCCCCCUGCUUCCUAAUUGUCCUAACAGACCCCAACUGAUUAUGCUUUAUUUUUUACUCUUUUCUUCCUUUCAUAAACUCUCCAGAUCCUAUCAAGAAUUGAUAUCCCAAAUGUGAUAAUAUAUACUUAUAAGUAGUCUAACCAUGAUCUGAUAACGACCCUAAUAACAUGUGGCACAAUAGAUCCAACAAAGCUCACAAGGAUAGACUUUGAUACCAUCUUAGAAAAUGACCCUAACUCAACCUCAAAAUUGGAUGAAGUUUGCAGUUAUUUAUACAAUAUAAUAUAGACAAAUGUCUAGUCGAUGUGGGAUCCCAACAUUGUUGAAUGGGGAAGACAUAAAGGUGACAAACAUUUGAAUUAGAACUAACAAACAUGAGCACCCACUAAUCUGAUACAGUCUUAGAAAAUGACCCUAACUCAACCUCAAAAUUGGAUGAGAUUUGCACUCACUUAUAUAAUAUAACUAAGUCAAAUGCCUAGUCAAUGUGGGAUCUUCAACAUUGUUGAACGGGGAUGAUAUAAACAAAACAAACAUUUGAAUUAGAAGUAACAAGCAUGAACAACCAUUGAGUAGUUAUACGGGUAGAGUUCAAAGACAAAC
rnacentral:lncRNA from 1 species